UACCAGCACCCCGAGUGGUCGGGACGUUUAUUGGGCCUAAAGCAUCCGUAGCCGGUUCUACAAGUCUUCCGUUAAAUCCACCUGCCUAACAGAUGGGCUACGGAAGAUACUAUAGAGCUAGGAGGCGGGAGAGGCAAGCGGUACUCGAUGGGUAGGGGUAAAAUCCGUUGAUCCAUUGAAGACCACCAGUGGCGAAGGCGGCUUGCCAGAACGCGCUCGACGGUGAGGGAUGAAAGCUGGGGGAGCAAACCGG
rnacentral:rRNA from 1 species